AAAUUGAAGAGUUUGAUCAUGGCUCAGAUUGAACGCUGGCGGCAGGCCUAACACAUGCAAGUCGAACGGUAACAGGAAACAGCUUGCUGUUUCGCUGACGAGUGGCGGACGGGUGAGUAAUGUCUGGGAAACUGCCUGAUGGAGGGGGAUAACUACUGG
rnacentral:rRNA from 1 species